rnacentral:rRNA from 1 species
GACGAACGCUGGCGGCGUGCUUAACACAUGCAAGUCGAACGGAAAGGCCUCUUUCGGGGGGUACUCGAGUGGCGAACGGGUGAGUAACACGUGAGUAACCUGCCCUUGACUUUGGGAUAACUUCAGGAAACUGGGGCUAAUACCGGAUAGGAGCUCCUGCUGCAUGGUGGGGGUUGGAAAGUUUCGGCGGUUGGGGAUGGACUCGCGGCUUAUCAGCUUGUUGGUGGGGUAGUGGCUUACCAAGGCUUUGACGGGUAGCCGGCCUGAGAGGGUGACCGGCCACAUUGGGACUGAGAUACGACCCAGACUCCUACGGGAGGCAGCAGUGGGGAAUAUUGCACAAUGGGUGGAAGCCUGAUGCAGCAACGCCGUGUGCGGGAGGACGGCCUUCGGGUUGUAAACCGCUUUCGCUCAUGACGAAGCUUUGUGUGACGGUAGUGGGUAAAGAAGCACCGGCUAACUACGUG